rnacentral:rRNA from 1 species
UACAGAGGGUGCGAGCGUUAAUCGGAAUUACUGGGCGUAAAGCGUGCGUAGACGGUAGCGUAAGUCAGAUGUGAAAGCCCCGGGCUCAACCUGGGAAUUGCAUUUGAGACUGCUCUGCUCGGGUGCGGAAGAGGGAAGCGGAAUUUCCGGUGUAGCGGUGAAAUGCGUAGAUAUCGGAAGGAACACCAGUGGCGAAAGCGG